CCUACGGGUGGCAGCAGUGGGGAAUAUUGCACAAUGGGGGAAACCCUGAUGCAGCGACGCCGCGUGAGUGAAGAAGUAAUUCGGUAUGUAAAGCUCUAUCAGCAGGGAAGAAAAUGACGGUACCUGAGUACGAAGCCCCGGCUAACUACGUGCCAGCAGCCGCGGUAAUACGUCGGGUGCAAGCGGUAUUCGGAUUUACUGGGUGUAAAGGGAGCGUAGAUGGCAGUGCAAGUCUGGAGUGAAAUGCGGGGGCUUAACCCCGGGACUGCUCUGGAAACUGUGCGGCUGGAGUGCAGGAGAGGUAAGUGGAAUUCCUAGUGUAGCGGUGAAAUGCGUAGAUAUUAGGAGGAACACCGGUGGCGAAGGCGGCUUACUGGACUGUAACUGACGUUGAGGCUCGAAAGCGUGGGGAGCAAACAGGAUUAGAUACCCGGGUAGUC
rnacentral:rRNA from 1 species